ensembl:misc_RNA
UGUCCUCGGGGCUGGAGCCCAGCUUGGCCCAAUGCUCAGGGAAACGAAGCAGCUCAAUAAAAACUUUUGAUAUUAGUUUUUAUGGGUAUUUACACUCUGGUGAGGGGAGCUGAGUACGGAAGCUCCGUUAAUCAGCCCCCAACCUUGGGUUUGGAUACUCAGUUUAU